rnacentral:rRNA from 1 species
UACGUAGGGUGCGAGCGUUAAUCGGAAUUACUGGGCGUAAAGCGUGCGCAGGCGGCUUUGCAAGACAGAUGUGAAAUCCCCGGGCUUAACCUGGGAACUGCAUUUGUGACUGCAAGGCUGGAGUGCGGCAGAGGGGGGUGGAAUUCCACGUGUAGCGGUGAAAUGCGUAGAUAUGUGGAGGAAUACCGAUGGCGAAGGCAGCCUCCUGGGCCAACACUGACGCUCAUGCACGAAAGCGUGGGGAUCAAACAGG